ensembl:misc_RNA Y_RNA Y RNA
GACCCGAAGGUAGUGAAUUAUUCACAGUAAAUACAGACUGAACUCCUUGUUCUACUCUUUCCCCCCUUCUCACUACUGCACUUGACUAGUCCAAA